CCUACGGGAGGCAGCAGUGAGGAAUAUUGGUCAAUGGGCGCGAGCCUGAACCAGCCAAGUAGCGUGAAGGAUGAAGGCCCUACGGGUGGUAAACUUCUUUUAUAAAGGAAUAAAGUGAGGCACGUGUGCCUUUUUGUAUGUACUUUAUGAAUAAGGAUCGGCUAACUCCGUGCCAGCAGCCGCGGUAAUACGGAGGAUCCGAGCGUUAUCCGGAUUUAGGGGGUUUAAAGGGCGCGUAGAUGGGUUGUUAAGUCCGUUGUGAAAGUUUGCGGCUCAACCGUAAAAUUGCAAUUGAUACUGGCAGCCUUGAUUACAGUUGAGGUCGGCGGAAUUCGUGUUGUAGCGG
rnacentral:rRNA from 1 species